UGUGUGGCAGUGAUGUCCGGUAAAUCAUGUAAUUUAUGUUAAGUUCAUAAACAUUCGUUCAUUUUGUUGGCGGUAGGCUUCAUGUAUUUGUGAUUUAAUCGAUGUAUAACUUUAGCAUCAUAAGUUGGCUAGCUAAUAUAGCACAUUCAGAGAGCUCCGGGGGUUACCGCUGUAGCCCGUAACUAAGGCAACCACAAGUGACGUGACCCGCGGGAGAAUAGAGUCAAAAAGAGCACCCAAACACCUCGGACUGUUUACCUGUUUGUUGUUUGGCUUCCAGUCUGUAGUAACUAAUGUGUUGAACAUGGAGAGACAUAACGUGGGAAAAGAAAGGCUCAUAGUGCCCACCGACUUUACCUCACCAGCGGCUCCAAGGAAUACCCAGGAGGAUCUGGUCCCCCCAUCGCAUUUCGCCUCGAGUGUCCAGUCUGCUGGAGCACAAAGAGGCGUUCACAGUGCAAGAAAUCCGCCACUCAACUCCUGGAUGAACCCAAGCGUCACAUCAGUACCAUCAGGAGAUCCCAGUCCUGCCAAUCCAUGGCUCGCCAUCACUCAGGCCCAGCAGGAAAUCUUGGAACUGAGGAAAGAAAAUCAAAGGAUCAUGAUGUUACAAGGGGACAGCGUAAGAGGAAGGAGCCCUGUGGAUCACCCAGCCGACCUUAGAGCAAGGUGUGCAGAGAGAGGCGAGCAGUGGUCUAGACGGGAGUCAGAGUGGCGUCUGGAGGCAGAGAUGCACAAGGCUGAGGCUGAGAGGCUGAAGGGGCAGGUGGAGACCUUGAAGGAGACUGCAGCGAGACACAGGGAAGAAAUGAGAGACAGAGACAGCACCCUGAACAGACAGAGCCAUGAGCUGGAAGCAGUGCGUGAAGAGCUAUGUAAAGCUAAGACUGAACUCAGCCAAAUCAGAACAGAGCUCACUCACAGCAGUACACAGAAGGAGAAAAUAAGCUCCCAGCUUGAAAGACUGAAGAAAGAGUCUGGCGAGGAAAUUACAAAGCUGAGGAGAGAUGUAGCGAGGAGCAAAGAGGAAGCCCAGGAGCUUGCUCUGAAGGCUGAAAUGGGCAGGUUACAAGCUGCGGAGGAGGCCAAACAGCUGACUCUUCAACUGUCAGAACAACUGGAGGAAAUGCAGAAGAAGCAGGGGGUGGAGCUGCAACAGCUGAAUGCUUCCCACUGUGAAGAGGUGGCUGCAGCAAGAAAUACAAUCAGUGAACUACAGGACAGACUUCAGUCGAUGACCUCAGAAGUGCUGCAGCUAAAAAGCACUCUGAUGGCGGUAUCUACUGAGAGAGAUGGGCUGAAAGAACAUUUAAGCCAAAUGGGACAAGCUUUUGAGACACAGUCGGCAACACUGCACAGCCUCAGAAAUUACAUCGGCCAACUCGCCCCGGAGAAAGGAGAGAAGGAACAAUUAAAUAAAGCUGUUGAGAGGCUGAACAAAGAGAAAGCAGCUCUGCAGAUGACCACAGAGCUUUUGACAGUCAGGCUAAACUCUGUGAAUGAGAUACUCGCCCUCCAAGAAGAGAAAAUAGUGAAUAAGAGCUCAACAGGCCCAUUUGGGAAGAAUGGAUCAGAAGGCCUUCAAGUGCUUCAGCUCUGGAGAAACAAAGUAUUCAAGUUAUGCAUCCAGCUUCGCUCAAAGGACAUCGAACUAAAAAGAGAGAAGGAUGAACUUCUUUCAAAGGUUAGAUUCAUGGAGCAGGAGCUCCAGCGGGAGCAGCAUCGGGCUAGUGUGCUCCAACACAGUCUUGAUGACAGGAUAGCUGAGCUAGACCUGGAGAGAGUGGAAAAGGAGACACUGAAACACGACUUGGCCCAGGAGCAAAUGGAAAACUCACAGCUAAAGUCGCAGAGACAGAAAGACGAGGCUGAACUAAGAAUCCUGACAGAGGCAGUGCGUAGGUUCAGUCUGGCAUUUGAAAGCAAGGUGGCAGAAGUGGACGCAGCUCAGUCAAGGCUCAACACUUUGACCCAGAGGCUGACUUUUGCUAAAAGACGAGUGGAGACAAUCCAAGGUUUGACCAUGAGGAAGGUGGCUCUACAGAAAGUUCAGCAGGCCAGUAAACAGGCAGAACAAGCUGCUGACAGCAUCACAAACCUUCAGACAGAGCUUAGUUUGGUGUGUGAAGAGAGAGACAAGCUCACACAGGAGCUCAAAAGAACCCCGGAGCUCAUCGAGAAAGCUCUGGCUGAUCUGAAAGAACAGUAUGAAAGCAAACUGAAGCGGCAGCAGCAACAAGCGCUGGAGCAGAGCUGGGCGGAGGUCCGGCAGGCUGUGGCUGGCAGAGAGGAGGCCGAGCUGAGCCUGCAGCAGAUCCAGACCCAGCUGGAGGAGAGCAAGGUCAACCUGGAGAAACUCCGGUCUGAGCUGCUCAGCCAGCAGGAGCACAGCGACCGUGCCCUGCAGGAGAGAGUGUCUGAGAUCGAAGACCGCUGUGCUGAGAGGCUGAGAGAGAUGGAGGUUCAAGUCAAUACUGCCAGGAGAGAGCACACCAAAGCAGUUAUGACUUUGCGGCAGUUUGAGAAGGAGGCAGCAAGAAAACAGGAUGAGAUGAGAAAAACUCAACAACACACGAAGAGGGAAGUCCAGAGCAAACAAGUGAAGGAGACAGAGAAAGACAGGAAACUACUGCUGGCCACUGUUGCUGAGAAAGGGCUGACAAGUGAAUAUACAAGAGCUCACACAACACCUCUACAAACCUCUGCUGCUCCCAGAGAACAUGGAGAAAAACCGUCAGAGAGGAGUCGCUCUGUGGGAACAAAAGUAUCUCCAGACGGGAGACUUCUGUCUGUCUUGGAGGAGCUCCAUUCUCUCAGUGCUGCAGUGGUAAACAGCUCUGAGGACUCUGCGGAGGAGGAGGGACAGAAUGACAGCGUGGGACCAUCCACAGGCAGUCCGCACAGCUGAUACCUGAUGAUGACUCACUGGAGCCAGUGAACGCACCUUUCAUUUGUACAAAAGUUUCCAUCCUCCAGGAGGUCCUGUAGUUCUCACCUGUAGGUCAGACACAGAGACAUCAUCUGCUGUGAACACGCUGCAAUGGAUUGAUUACUCAGAGCUGUCAGCUGAAACCGGUGUCAUGGUAGGACACAUCUGCACCCUGCUGCUGUCCACUCAGCAGCGUCAAAGAAAUACUGUUUGUUGGCUUCCUUCUGCCCACAACAGCCUCUGUACUCACUGCUACUGAUGAACUCACUGGCUCUGUACACAAAUUAUCAUUAUGUCUUUGUCUGCUGAAACUUAAAACCUCUAUAUAACCGCAUCAGAACUGCCUCUAAUGAUAAGGGGUAAAACAAAAAUAAAUAGGAUUUGAAUGGUGUAGAUCAGACAGCCAAUCUCCAAGUGAAGAGCCAUAAAGUGCCAGUGUGUAAGAUGAGGAAUGUUGAGAGCCUCGGAGCACUCACUGCAGCUGAAACUAUGUUGAGCCAUAAAUACAGGCAAUUUGCAGGAAGCCUUUGGAGAAUGAAACAUGAAAGGUUUUAUUGUGAAGUUUUAUAGCACUCAGCGUGCUCUUUUUAUCUCCUGACCUUUCUGGGGCGCUUCAGACCACUUAUUGCAGCCCUGACCUUGGGUACCAUAACACAAACUACAAUAUCAUCAUUUCAUCUCAGGAAUUUUACGGGAAUUACUUUUAUUGUUUAGUUACAGGUAAAAACGUCUCUUGGGAGCCACUUUACCAGACGGGCAGGCAUGUUACAUACCGUCCGUGGUUUGGCUCAUGUAUUAUUAAUCCCACAUUAUUCCCUCGGGUCGUCUCUCUGUGUUGGCUGAAUGAAAGUUGUGAUAUUAAAGUGAAGUCUGCUGCAGUCUGAUCUAUUAAGCAUCCAGGAGCGCAACACGUUAUCGAGGUUUAUUAGAUUGUGUUUGCUACCUCUUGAUCCCUGACUGAGAAUAAAUAAUGGAUCUAGUUACACAGUUCACAGUUUGGUUUUGAAGACAUUGUUUACAACUGCAUUUCUCAUCUUUAAUUAUCCCAUGCCAACCCUCAUUUACGUUAUCUGCCCCAAGGAAAAUGAGGCCGCGCGUGCAUCAAAGUACUUCUGCUAUGCAUUUUUCAAUUCUCCCAGCAGGCUUUGGCCCUAAUGUCAUCUUACAGUCAGUGUGAAAUGCAGAGCCGCCGCACGUGGCUGCAAAGUUCCACAUCCAAUUUCACAGGUUCCAGCUCUGAGUAAUGGCACUAAAACAGAGACUCUGACUGAAUAAACAAGGGGAGUUCCAAUCCCUAAAGCAUAAUUAUAUGAAUUAAUACACUGUUGAACAAAAGGAGCAAAAAAAAAUACAAGCUCUGCUUUUUACCUGAUAAAUGCUGCUGAAAUUAUGACCAGCUCUUUAGAAAAUGUUGUGAUGCAGACAUGUGCACAGAACAAAUCUGAGAGCCUAAUAGAUUGUCAUUCCUGUGUUAGCAUCUGUUUGACAAAUGUUCACAGUGAAUUUUGAAAAGAAUGUUAACAAGUGAGUAAAAAUCAGUUGCCAUUUUGAUGACUUGAUU